CUGCCUCACUGUUACUUCUUGCACAAAGUAAAAUAACUACAAGGCUCAGUUGGUUGGAGCAGCUCCAUAAGAAAUUUAGGCUUGAGAUCACCCAGCAGUUAAUGUGCUCUGAUUUCCGUGUGAACUGCAGACUUCACCAUUCACCUUAAAGCCCAAUCCUCAAUCCCACUAGCCAAAAACUGGGCCCGUAUUGGUUAGCUCACCAUUUGCUGAGAAAACAGCUCAAAUCACAUAACCCACUGAAGAAGCAGGGCCACACCCCUGGGUUUGGCUGGCUGCUCAUUAAGACUUAACAGAUUACACAGAUUUAUGCCACUGGAGUUGUUUACUAACCUGAAGACUACAAUAAAUAAAACAGUUGCUAUCAAUAGAACUCCCCUUAUUUUCUCUCAAGUCACCUGGAUCGUCCUGACCCCGAGAACCCCGUCUGCAGCGCCAGGCCCCCUCCGUGGAGAAAAGAUGGAGCCGGAUUAAGCACUCAGUGCUAAGGCGACUAAGAGGCCACUGCCCGCAGGCCCUGCCGGAAAAUACUCAGAGAGUGCAGCAGGCGCCGCGAUUCCUUAGAAAGUGCUGGCGUGGCCUCUCCUGACACAGAAAGCCGGCUCCUGAAUGCUUACAAAAGACUGGCCCGCGCAACACCGUUGCUCCUCAACCCAGGCCACACUCCAAGGACCUCUACUGAGCUUCAGCUUGCUCACCGAAAACGGCGCGGUCCCCUCUACCCGGGAUGUCGGAGCCCAGGAGACCCUGAGGGCCCCCAGCUCUUUCUGUUAUUGCAGGAGAAGGGGCAAGCGGGUCCGUAGCCGGGGCCCCCCAGUGGCAUUGUCCUGAACCGCCACGCCCGCACGUGGCCCGGCUAGAGCUCCCUGGCGAAGGAUCACCUGUUCCUAAAGUGACAACUGGACCUGGCUGGAACCCCUGUCAUCUGGCAACAUUAUUACCUGUCAAAACAGAAGUAGAGAUUUGAAAUAGAGGAUGCCAUUUCCCAUUUCCUCCUGCUGUCUGGAAGGAAGUCUGGCUUUCCAGCCCAACUCUAAGCUCAUCUUUACAUACAAAAUAAGCAUAUGUUUACAUGGAAAGCAAAAAUAGAACCAUGGAUUUACAGAAGGUUCCAUAGCAGCAAAUAACAGUGCUUAUGAAAUAAACAUUUUAAGUAUUA